CAAUGACGCACAUGCAAAGACAAGAAAUGUUAUCGAAAGAGCAUUCGGUGUACUGAAGCGGAGGUUUCAUGUCCUUCAUGGAGAGGUACGAAUGAAGCCGGGCAAGGUAACAAAAAUAAUUCUGGCAUGUGUAGUAUUGCACAAUCUCGCUAAGGCAUGGGGUGAGAGGGAGGCAUUCCCAGAGGAAGAAGACCCUCAACCUCCACCACUUGUCCAGCUUGAGGGUAACCCUGACGGGCAGGCUAUCCGGGAUGCAAUAACAGCAAACUAUUUCAGAUGAAGACGGACGGACAUUACAAGGCACCAUGGGUGACUUGAUCUAUGUAUGGCGUAAUAGUAUUCAGACUGAUGUACAGACAUAGACAAAACAAGUCUUAAAAAUGUGUGUUCAUUUACAUCUGAUAAAGACAAAACAAGUCUAUAAAAUGUGUGUUCAUUUACAUCUGAUAAAGACAAAACAAGUCUAUAAAAUGUGUGUUCAUUUACAUCUGAUAAAGACAAAACAAGUCUUUAAAAUGUGUGUUCAUAAAUAUAUAGUUUAAUAAUUUUGAUUAUUUUCCCUGUGCAUAAUUAUAGAGAUCCAUUGUUUAAAUUUAACUGACAACUAGGUCAGCCAUCAGCUGAUUGAACAGAUGUAUUUAAAUAUAGGUCAGGAAUUUUCUCACGCACCUUGUAAACACUGUCUACUACUGAGUGUCUACUCUGGUGGAAAGUGUACUGCAGUAAUUUAAAUUUGCUGGUAUAGGCAAAGGUGUAAAUUAGUAAGAAUAACUUACUUUUGUUUACAUUUUUGUGUUUAUUGUGAGAUGAUUUCAUGUACAUCCAUAAAAUUUUAAAUAGAAACUAAAUGUUAAGUCACUUGUUUGUAAAACCUUGCAAGAGGUAGAUGUUGUAGUUGGCUAUUUUCAAUUGCCACUUUCUACACUAAGUCUUGGUCACUGACCAUCAUUUACAUAUAUUAAAAACUUGGAACUUAAAACCCCUUGUGUUGUUUACACAA